GCCCCUGUAGCGCAGUGGUAGCGUGCUCUGCUCUUGCGCCUUCGUCAGGACGCUGACACGUCAUGCCGGGGGCCAUGUCAGAGAGGUCGCAGGCUCAAUUCCUGCCAUGGGCU